UACGGAGGGGGCAAGCGUUGUUCGGAAUUACUGGGCGUAAAGCGUGCGCAGGCGGUGUGGUAAGUCGGGCGUGAAAUCCCCGGGCUCAACCUGGGAAUUGCAUUCGAAACUGCGAGGCUAGGGUACGGAAGAGGGAAGCGGAAUUUCUGGUGUAGCGGUGAAAUGCGUAGAUAUCAGAAGGAACAUCAGUGGCGAAAGCGGCUUCCUGGUCCAGUACCGACGUUCAGGCACGAAAGCGUGGGGAGCAAACAGG
rnacentral:rRNA from 1 species